GACGAACGCUGGCGGCGUGCUUAACACAUGCAAGUCGAACGGAAAGGCCCUGCUUUUGUGUGGUGCUCGAGUGGCGAACGGGUGAGUAACAUGUGAGUAACCUGCCCUUGAGUUGGUGAUAACUUCAGGAAACUGGUGCUAAUACCGGAUAGGAGCUCCUGCUGCAUGGUGGGGUUUGGAAAGUUUCGGCGGUGGGGGAUGGACUCGCGGCUUAUCAGCUUGUGGGUGGGGUAGUGGCUUACCAAGGCUUUGAGGGGUAGCCGGCCUGAGUGGGUGGCCGGCCACAUUGGGACUGAGAUACGGACCAGACUCCUACGGGAGGCAGCAGUGGGGAAUAUUGCACAAUGGGGGGAAGCCUGAUGCAGCAACGCCGCGUGCGGGAUGCAGGCCUUGGGGUUGUAAACCGCUUUAGCCUGUGACGAAGCGUGAGUGACGGUAAUAGGUAAAGAAGCACCGGCUAACUACGUG
rnacentral:rRNA from 1 species